rnacentral:rRNA from 1 species
AUGGAUUUAAAGCAGCUUAGUGGCGGACGGGUGAGUAACGCGUGAGGAACCUGCCUUUCAGAGGGGGACAACAGCUGGAAACGGCUGCUAAUACCGCAUGAUAUAUAAGAACCGCAUGGUUUUUAUAUCAAAGAUUUAUCGCUGAAAGAUGGGCUCGCGUCUGAUUAGCUAGUUGGUGAGGUAACGGCUCACCAAGGCAACGAUCAGUAGCCGGACUGAGAGGUUGAACGGCCACAUUGGGACUGAGAUACGGCCCAGACUCC